rnacentral:hammerhead_ribozyme from 1 species
UUCAGUUGACGAGUCCGAAAUAGGACGAAACGUGCGUUCUGCAA